rnacentral:rRNA from 1 species
GAUGAACGCUGGCGGCGUGCCUAAUACAUGCAAGUCGAGCGAACAGACGAGGAGCUUGCUCCUCUGACGUUAGCGGCGGACGGGUGAGUAACACGUGGAUAACCUACCUAUAAGACUGGGAUAACUUCGGGAAACCGGAGCUAAUACCGGAUAAUAUAUUGAACCGCAUGGUUCAAUAGUGAAAGACGGUUUUGCUGUCACUUAUAGAUGGAACCGCGCCGCAUUAGCUAGUUGGUAAGGUAACGGCUUACCAAGGCAACGAUGCGUAGCCGACCUGAGAGGGUGAUCGGCCACACUGGAACUGAGACACGGUCCAGACUCCUACGGGAGGCAGCAGUAGGGAAUCUUCCGCAAUGGGCGAAAGCUUGACGGAGCAACGCCGCGUGAGUGAUGAAGGUCUUCGGAUCGUAAAACUCUGUUAUUAGGGAAGAACAAAUGUGUAAGUAACUAUGCACGUCUUGACGGUACCUAAUCAGAAAGCCACGGCUAACUACGUG